rnacentral:lncRNA from 1 species
GCCAGUAGGCUAUUUCCUCUGUCUUGCCUUUUCCUUUGUUCAUCAAACCUCCCCCUGGGAAGAAGACAGGCUACACAAAAGAAAUAGCUUGCAUAAUCUUCUUACUAAACAUAUUGCCCUGGCGAGAGUCAGCUAAGAAGAAAAGGGCAAAGCAUUCCAGUCUCCUAGAAACUAUCAGGACAGACCAAAUCUAUUCAUAAUUUUUUUCAUUCACGAACCUCCAGAAAUCCACUUCACUCGUCUCCACUCAUUCAUAAAUUCUAGAAGUCCAUUCAUAAAUUUAUAUUUAAUAUUUCUCCUGCGAUCUUGCAAUCCCAGCAGAUUGCCACCCCAGGGAAAUCAAACAGACUGUGCCCCCUCCCACUUUUCCUUUCCAAAGUGUAACCUGGAAUGUCUGUCUAGCCACACCUGGAUGUGUAUAUUCAAUUAACAUAAUCUUACCACAACAGGACAGGGCGCAUAAGAUGUACGUGCUCAAGGCACACUCACACAAAGUACUCUGCACUUCUAUAUAUGAAGGCUGUUCUGACCCCAAUCUAUCUUAACUACCAUAUAUACUCGAGUAUAAGCAGACCCUAAUAUAAGCCGAGGCACCUAAUUUUACCACAAAAAAAACUGGGGAAACCUAUCGACUCGAAUAUAAGCUGAGGGUGGAAAAUGCAGCAGCUACUGGUAAGUUUCAAAAUGAAAAUAGAUCCCAAUGAAAUUAUUUUGAGGCAUCAGUAGGUUAAAGGCUUUUGAAUAUUUACCAUAUUUCAAAGAAAAAGUAAACUAGCUCUGUAAGUGGAAAAGUAGGGUCAACAAAAACAAUAUGGUAUUAACAAUAACAUAAUAAUAGUAAUGAUACAGUAGAGUCUCACUUAUCCAACACUGCUUAUCCAACGUUCUGGAUUAUCCAACGCAUUUUUGUAGUCAAUGUUUUCAAUACAUCGUGAUAUUUUGGUGCUAAAUUCGUAAAUACAGUAAUUACUACAUAGCAUUACUGCGUGUUGAACUACUUUUUCUGUCAAAUUUGUUGUAUAACAUGAUGUUUUGGUGCUUAAUUUGUAAAAUCAUAAUCUAAUUUGAUGUUUAAUAGGCUUUUCCUUAAUCUCUCCUUAUCAUCCAACAUAUUCGCUUAUCCAACAUUCUGCCGGCCCGUUUAUGUUGGAUAACUGAGACUCUACUGUAAUAAUAAUAAUAAUAAUAAUAAUAAUAAUAAUAAGGCCAUAAACACCUGGGCCAUACCUGUCAUUAGAUGUACUGCUGGCAUUAUAAACUGGACACAGGCAGAACUGGACAAUUUGG